rnacentral:rRNA from 1 species
GAUGAACGCUAGCGGCAGGCCUAACACAUGCAAGUCGAGGGAUAAGCCCUUCGGGGUGGAAACCGGCGCACGGGUGCGUAACGCGUAUGCAACCUACCUUUCACAGGGGGAUAGCCCGAAGAAAUUUGGAUUAAUACCCCAUAAUAUUGUUGGAUGGCAUCAUCUGAUAAUUAAAGUUACGAUGGUGAAAGAUGGGCAUGCGUCCUAUUAGCUAGUUGGAGUGGUAACGGCACCCCAAGGCUACGAUAGGUAGGGGUCCUGAGAGGGAGAUCCCCCACACUGGUACUGAGACAGGGACCAGACUCCUACGGGAGGCAGCAGUGAGGAAUAUUGGUCAAUGGUCGAAAGACUGAACCAGCCAUGCCGCGUGCAGGACAGACGGCCCUAGAGGUUGUAAACUGCUUUUAUAUGGGAAGAAUAAGGAGU